rnacentral:tRNA from 1 species
CGGGAUGUGGCGCAGUUUGGUAGCGCACCUGACUGGGGGUCAGGGGGUCGCUGGUUCAAAUCCAGUCAUCCCGACCA